GGGUUGUGAGGUUAAGCGACUAAGCGUACACGGUGGAUGCCCUGGCAGUCAGAGGCGAUGAAGGACGUGCUAAUCUGCGAUAAGCGUCGGUAAGGUGAUAUGAACCGUUAUAACCGGCGAUUUCCGAAUGGGGAAACCCAGUGUGUUUCGACACACUAUCAUUAACUGAAUCCAUAGGUUAAUGAGGCGAACCGGGGGAACUGAAACAUCUAAGUACCCCGAGGAAAAGAAAUCAACCGAGAUUCCCCCAGUAGCGGCGAGCGAACGGGGAGCAGCCCAGAGCCUGAAUCAGUGUGUGUGUUAGUGGAAGCGUCUGGAAAGGCGCGCGAUACAGGGUGACAGCCCCGUACACAAAAAUGCACAUGCUGUGAGCUCGAUGAGUAGGGCGGGACACGUGGUAUCCUGUCUGAAUAUGGGGGGACCAUCCUCCAAGGCUAAAUACUCCUGACUGACCGAUAGUGAACCAGUACCGUGAGGGAAAGGCGAAAAGAACCCCGGCGAGGGGAGUGAAAAAGAACCUGAAACCGUGUACGUACAAGCAGUGGGAGCCUCUUUUAUGGGGUGACUGCGUACCUUUUGUAUAAUGGGUCAGCGACUUAUAUUCUGUAGCAAGGUUAACCGAAUAGGGGAGCCGAAGGGAAACCGAGUCUUAACUGGGCGUUAAGUUGCAGGGUAUAGACCCGAAACCCGGUGAUCUAGCCAUGGGCAGGUUGAAGGUUGGGUAACACUAACUGGAGGACCGAACCGACUAAUGUUGAAAAAUUAGCGGAUGACUUGUGGCUGGGGGUGAAAGGCCAAUCAAACCGGGAGAUAGCUGGUUCUCCCCGAAAGCUAUUUAGGUAGCGCCUCGUGAAUUCAUCUCCGGGGGUAGAGCACUGUUUCGGCAAGGGGGUCAUCCCGACUUACCAACCCGAUGCAAACUGCGAAUACCGGAGAAUGUUAUCACGGGAGACACACGGCGGGUGCUAACGUCCGUCGUGAAGAGGGAAACAACCCAGACCGCCAGCUAAGGUCCCAAAGUCAUGGUUAAGUGGGAAACGAUGUGGGAAGGCCCAGACAGCCAGGAUGUUGGCUUAGAAGCAGCCAUCAUUUAAAGAAAGCGUAAUAGCUCACUGGUCGAGUCGGCCUGCGCGGAAGAUGUAACGGGGCUAAACCAUGCACCGAAGCUGCGGCAGCGACACUGUGUGUUGUUGGGUAGGGGAGCGUUCUGUAAGCCUGCGAAGGUGUACUGUGAGGUAUGCUGGAGGUAUCAGAAGUGCGAAUGCUGACAUAAGUAACGAUAAAGCGGGUGAAAAGCCCGCUCGCCGGAAGACCAAGGGUUCCUGUCCAACGUUAAUCGGGGCAGGGUGAGUCGACCCCUAAGGCGAGGCCGAAAGGCGUAGUCGAUGGGAAACAGGUUAAUAUUCCUGUACUUGGUGUUACUGCGAAGGGGGGACGGAGAAGGCUAUGUUGGCCGGGCGACGGUUGUCCCGGUUUAAGCGUGUAGGCUGGUUUUCCAGGCAAAUCCGGAAAAUCAAGGCUGAGGCGUGAUGACGAGGCACUACGGUGCUGAAGCAACAAAUGCCCUGCUUCCAGGAAAAGCCUCUAAGCAUCAGGUAACAUCAAAUCGUACCCCAAACCGACACAGGUGGUCAGGUAGAGAAUACCAAGGCGCUUGAGAGAACUCGGGUGAAGGAACUAGGCAAAAUGGUGCCGUAACUUCGGGAGAAGGCACGCUGAUAUGUAGGUGAAGUCCCUCGCGGAUGGAGCUGAAAUCAGUCGAAGAUACCAGCUGGCUGCAACUGUUUAUUAAAAACACAGCACUGUGCAAACACGAAAGUGGACGUAUACGGUGUGACGCCUGCCCGGUGCCGGAAGGUUAAUUGAUGGGGUCAGCGCAAGCGAAGCUCUUGAUCGAAGCCCCGGUAAACGGCGGCCGUAACUAUAACGGUCCUAAGGUAGCGAAAUUCCUUGUCGGGUAAGUUCCGACCUGCACGAAUGGCGUAAUGAUGGCCAGGCUGUCUCCACCCGAGACUCAGUGAAAUUGAACUCGCUGUGAAGAUGCAGUGUACCCGCGGCAAGACGGAAAGACCCCGUGAACCUUUACUAUAGCUUGACACUGAACAUUGAGCCUUGAUGUGUAGGAUAGGUGGGAGGCUUAGAAGUGUGGACGCCAGUCUGCAUGGAGCCGACCUUGAAAUACCACCCUUUAAUGUUUGAUGUUCUAACGUUGACCCGUGAUCCGGGUUGCGGACAGUGUCUGGUGGGUAGUUUGACUGGGGCGGUCUCCUCCUAAAGAGUAACGGAGGAGCACGAAGGUUGGCUAAUCCUGGUCGGACAUCAGGAGGUUAGUGCAAUGGCAUAAGCCAGCUUGACUGCGAGCGUGACGGCGCGAGCAGGUGCGAAAGCAGGUCAUAGUGAUCCGGUGGUUCUGAAUGGAAGGGCCAUCGCUCAACGGAUAAAAGGUACUCCGGGGAUAACAGGCUGAUACCGCCCAAGAGUUCAUAUCGACGGCGGUGUUUGGCACCUCGAUGUCGGCUCAUCACAUCCUGGGGCUGAAGUAGGUCCCAAGGGUAUGGCUGUUCGCCAUUUAAAGUGGUACGCGAGCUGGGUUUAGAACGUCGUGAGACAGUUCGGUCCCUAUCUGCCGUGGGCGCUGGAGAACUGAGGGGGGCUGCUCCUAGUACGAGAGGACCGGAGUGGACGCAUCACUGGUGUUCGGGUUGUCAUGCCAAUGGCACUGCCCGGUAGCUAAAUGCGGAAGAGAUAAGUGCUGAAAGCAUCUAAGCACGAAACUUGCCCCGAGAUGAGUUCUCCCUGAGACUAUAAGUCUCCUGAAGGAACGUUGAAGACGACGACGUUGAUAGGCCGGGUGUGUAAGCGCAGCGAUGCGUUGAGCUAACCGGUACUAAUGAACCGUGAGGCUUAACCUUACAACGCCGAAGGUGUUU
rnacentral:rRNA from 1 species